rnacentral:rRNA from 1 species
AUUGAACUGAAGAGUUUGAUCCUGGCUCAGAUUGAACGCUGGCGGCAUGCCUUACACAUGCAAGUCGAACGGCAGCACGGGCUUCGGCCUGGUGGCGAGUGGCGAACGGGUGAGUAAUACAUCGGAACAUGUCCUGUAGUGGGGGAUAGCCCGGCGAAAGCCGGAUUAAUACCGCAUACGAUCUGAGGAUGAAAGCGGGGGACCUUCGGGCCUCGCGCUAUAGGGUUGGCCGAUGGCUGAUUAGCUAGUUGGUGGGGUAAAGGCCUACCAAGGCGACGAUCAGUAGCUGGUCUGAGAGGACGACCAGCCACACUGGGACUGAGACACGGCCCAGACUCCUACGGGAGGCAGCAGUGGGGAAUUUUGGACAAUGGGCGCAAGCCUGA